CGCGUAGGCGGCUGUCAUAGUCAGAUGUGAAAUUCCUGGGCUUAACCUGGGGGCUGCAUUUGAUACGUGGCGGCUAGAGUGCGGAAGAGGGUCGUGGAAUUCCCAGUGUAGAGGUGAAAUUCGUAGAUAUUGGGAAGAACACCGGUGGCGAAGGCGGCGACCUGGUCCGUAACUGACGCUGAGGCGCGAAAGCGUGGGGAGCAAACAGGAUUAGAUACCCUGGUAGUCCACGCUGUAAACGAUGUGUGCUGGAUGUUGGGUGACCUAGUCACGCAGUGUCGUAGCUAACGCGGUAAGCACACCGCCUGGGGAGUACGGCCGCAAGGUUGAA
rnacentral:rRNA from 1 species